CUACGGGCUGCACCAGUGAGGAAUAUUGCACAAUGGGGGGAACCCUGAUGCAGCAACGCCGCGUGGAGGAUGACGCAUUUCGGUGUGUAAACUCCUUUUAUAUGUCAAGAAAAUGACGGUAGCAUAUGAAUAAGCACCGGCUAACUCCGUGCCAGCAGCCGCGGUAAUACGGAGGGUGCAAGCGUUACUCGGAAUCACUGGGCGUAAAGGACGCGUAGGCGGGUUGGAAAGUCAGGUGUGAAAUACUACAGCUUAACUGUAGAACUGCACUUGAAACUUCUAAUCUAGAGUAUGGGAGGGGGAGAUGGAAUUAGUGGUGUAGGGGUAAAAUCCGUAGAUAUCACUAGGAAUACCUAAAGCGAAGGCAAUCUCCUGGAACAUUACUGACGCUAAGGCGUGAAAGCGUGGGGAGCAAACAGGAUUAGAUACCCCGGUAGUC
rnacentral:rRNA from 1 species